UCGUUUUUCUCUUCUUUCACAUUUAUGAUCCAAAUUAUUUGUCUUUUCUGUGGGUUCAUGGUUUCUGAAGCGUUCCUACUCAGCCCUAAAGGUUUGCUUUUGUGUUUUCUCUUCUUAUGUUUACUUUUUCUGGUCAUCUUGUUUAUUCUGGGUAUCAAUUUAGUUUCUGAUUGUAUUUACCUUGUUUUGGGAAAAGUAUUUGGACAAUUCACAAUGGGGACAAGUGAGUAGUAGUUUUUGUAAAACUUCUGCAAUUUUUGUUGAGGCCCUAUCUUUCUUAAGGUGAUAACUUACUGGUGCAUUUUCGUUGUUACAAGUCAGGGAGUGUACAUAACAAGAGGAUCUGGCGAUCAACUCCAUAUUUUACUUAGAACUUUACUUGAACGAGGAAUUCUUGAGCCAUGAAGAGGGAGAGAGAUUUUUUGUUUUGGUUUUGUUUUCUUUUUGAUUUUUUAAUGCUGUGUUCGUCCCAAUUCAGUGUCCUCAUCGUCAUUUUCGUUGUAGGUAAACUUGCCUCCCGUUAUUCACCAAGCGAUGGAGAGAGAGAAAGGAGAGAAGAAAAGGAAAUGUAAAAAGGAGCGAGAGAGUAAAAAAGGCAAAUGAUACAGGGAAAACAUAGAAUGAAGAGUAAAAACAAAAACCAUCAUUUCCUAAGCCAUGAAGAGAGAGAAAGAGAGAGAGGAAAAGGUAUAAAAGAGUGAGACGAAAAUAAGGUAAAUGAAGUAGGGAAAAAUGUUUAUGGCAUUUGGAUCGAAUGGUUCGGGGGCUAUGAGAACAGAGAGAAGAAAAGGAAAUGUAAAAAGGAGUGAGAGAGGAAAAAAGGAAAAUGAUAUAGGGAAAACAAAGAAUGAAGAGUGAAAAGGAAAAUCGUCAUUUCCUAAGCCAUGAAGAGAGAGAAAGAGGGAAAGGAAAGGUAAAAAAGAGAGACGAAAAAAUGUAGUGAAAAUGGUUUAUGGCAUUUGGAUGGAAUGGUUCGGGCUAUGAGAAAGUGUUGUUGAGGGAAGAGUUUGCGCUUAGUUAGGCACAUUGAGAGUGAUGGCCAUCAGAAAUGAAGUUGGAUUUUUGGUCUGCUUGAUGCCGUUGUCGCUUACGUGUCCCUGAUCAGACCAGGGUCAGGGAGUGAACUUAACAAGAGGAUUUGGCGAUCAACUCCAUAUUUUAUUUAGAACUUUAUUUGAACGAGGAAUUCUUAAGCCAUGAAGAGGGAGAGAGAUUUGUUCUUUUGGUUUUGUUUUCUUUUUGAUCUCUUAAUGCUGUGUUCGUCCC